UCGUCUAGGUAGUUCAGUUAAUCUAUCAGGUGGUUUUAAUGCAGUUAAUGAUCCGUACCAUUGUGCUGAAUUCUACCAAUCAGAUGAGUGCAGCACAUCAGAGACAGAAUUACAGAAGUAUAUUCAAGAAGAAGUAGAAAACCGUCCUCCAAAUUUUAAUGUGCUAGAGUGGUGGAAGGUGAAUUCAAGCCGAUAUCCAAUACUUGCAAGCAUUGCAAGAGAGGUUUUAGCCAUACCGAUAUCCAGUGUAGCCUCUGAAUCAGCUUUCAGUACCGGAGGAAGAAUCCUUGAUGCAUAUCGUAGUUCUUUAACAUCGGCUAGUGUGGAAGCACUUAUGUGUACUGAAGAUUGGCUCAAAGGAGUAGUUCCAUCUUUUCUUAGUAGUGAGGAUCUCGAUAAUAUUGAUCGAAUUGAGGAUGAACUAUAUUCUGCGCCAGAUGCCGGAAGUUGCUCAUCCUUUGUGUCAGUUGUUGAUGAUUGAGGGUCCACAGGUUUGACUGAGAGAUUUGAACUUUUCAUUUGUGGUCGUGAACUAGGCAAUGCAUUCUCGGAAUUGACCGAUCCUAUAGAUCAGGUUGGAGAUGGCUUGGAUUGCCUUUGAAGAAGAUGGCCAUGGGAAAUUGUGGUUGAAAAUUGGAUGUUAAUGCUUAUGAGCUUAGAUUAAAAAUUAGAACUUUUAGGUCACAUGUUAGUUUAGGUUCAUUUUUGGAAUGUUCAUUUGUAAUGUGCAAUGAGUUUAUCAUGGAAACUAUGUAUUAAGAUGAACUUAUGGUUCAUGAUUAUGUAUGUGGACCAUUUUCUGAUAUGAUAUAAGUGUAUAGCAGAAAAAGUUGUCGGUUGUGGCAUU